UUGAUCACAUUAAUAGUCGAAAAGCCUAUCUAGGAAGCGUACCGACGAUAGUCUUUGUUUCUGGAGUGUUUUCUUCUGUAAUUUUUGUUUUUCAAAAUCCUUUUCGUUGCAGACUGUGUACAAAGGAAGGAAGAAGAAGACGAUCGAGUAUUUUCAAGGUUCUUCACGAGAGAUCUGUCUGUCUCCUCUUUUCCGAAUCAGUGAUUUCAUGCUUAGGUUACCUGAGAUUGAACGCUUGAUUUUAAUGAGCUGAUCUCUCAAUAGUGACUUGGAUAUUGACAAAGUUUGGUAUUUCGUCACUUCACUCUCUAAAUCAUCCAAACGUACUCAAGUUCAAUGCGUGUUUUGGAAUAUUGCGUUGGGGGGGGGGGUUAUCUCAGGACGUUAUUGCAGCAGGUACUUCAACUGUGUUCUUGAUGACUUGUUUCUGAAAAUCACUUGUUCUGCAGGACUGUAAGCUGCCAGAAGAUUCAGUAUAUGGUCUUGCCUAUGAUCUUGUCAUAGCCUUGCUGUAAGAUCAUUCUCUUACCAGUUUGACACUACCUCUAGGAAAUUUUCAGCUUCUUACAUUCGAAACAAAUUACAUAUUGUGAUCUGAAACCAUCAAACAUCUUACUUGAUGAAAAUGGACAUAUUAAGCUGUGUGAUUUUGGGUUGGCAAGGAAGCUAGAUGAUAUUAGUAAAUCUCCAUCCAUUCCACGGGAAAACGUGGAACUCCGUAUUAUAUGGCUCCAGAACUAUAUGAAGAUGGAGGGGGUCCAUUCUUUUGCUUCUGAGUUCUGACCUAUGGGGCCACUUGGCUGUGUUUUUUAUAUGAGUGUUACACAGGGAGACCUCCUUUUGUGGCAAGAGAGAGUUCACCCAGCUUGUGAAAUCUAUUCAUUCAGAUCCAACUCCUCCACUCCCUGGAAAUGCCAGCCGUCCAUUUCUCAAUCUCAUUGAGUCUCUUCUUAUCAAAGACCCAGCGCAAAGAAUACAAUGGGCAGAUCUCUGUGGUCAUGCAUUUUGGAAGAGUAAAAUAUAAUCAUGUAUAUUGGCAUAUACACAAAGUCUAGGGAGAAAGUUCCAAAAGGUAGUUCAAAGCACAAGGAGAACUCCACUCAUGGUUCAAGGGCGCCAUGAGACGCCACAAAAGGGUACUCCUGUUGGUUCAAAAGCUCAAACAAAGUUUCCUAGCAAGACAACUGGGUAAAAGCAUGGAGGUCGUCCGGGUUCUAACCGCCAGGUGAAUAUCCUAAGAUUGUCAAGGAUAGCAAAGGCAAAUCUCCAAAAGGAAAAUGAGAAGGAAAACUACAGGAGACCCUUACCUAAUAGCAACGAGAACUGUGCUGAAGUGAAAAUUGAUAACACUGAUAUGGAACUUGAUUUUGAUGAAGACAAUGAUGAGGAUGGUCCAGAUGAACCAGAAGGAAAUGAGAACACCUCUUGUGCACAAGAUGAAAGAGUUUUGAGUCAAAAUGAGAGUCACAGAAGGCAAGGAGUUAGGAGCAAUAAUGUGCCUGAUGAGAACUCGUCUGCAAAUGAAACACCAACCUCGGGUGAACCCAGAGAUUUCCAUGAAGAGCAGUCAGAACCUUUUGAAGUUUCAGCUGCGCUACCUAGUGCUAGCCCUCAAGUUAAAACUCAUAGAGAAAGAGAAGUUUCUGGGAUUACUGUUCACCACGACUCGUCUAAAACACCUAACAGCCUCAGUGCCGUCCUUUGACAUUUAUCUGAUCCUUCUGUUAGACCCGUCAUGCCCAGCAGAAAAUCUGACAAAGAAGCUCUGCCUUCUCUCUCAUUCGAAGCACCACAGCCUUCUGAUUUUAGUAAGAUGGGAAAGCAAGAACUUGAACCGCUUAACAAUAGAAUCAUAACGGUUCUAAGUGGGAGUAGUGCUGGCAUCUCAGAGACACAGAACCUGAUCAGAUACCUCGCAGACACUGAGUAGCAAUGCUGAUGCAGCCAACAUAUUGACCAACGGGCCAAUAAUGCUUGUGCUAGUAAAAGUUCUCCGGUUAUCCAAGACCCCAGCGUUUCGUGUACAAAUUGCUUCACUAAUUGGUUUGUUAAUCCGGCCUUCUACUGCUAUUGAAGAUGAGUUGGCAAGUUCUGGUAUUUUAGACUCUCUUGCCAAUGGCCUCAGAGACAAACAUGAUCAAGUGGGAGCAGUUGUGGGGAGCUCUGGAAAUUUUGGGCUGGAGAAAAACUUUGAAGAUGUUAUUGACAAGGGUGUAAACAAUAACAGGAGAGGAUUCAAUGGUAUUGGAGAUGCAGGAAGGCAAAAAGAGAAGCAUUAGAGCAUGAUUAAUGAAGAUGCUUAGAAGUGCUUAGAGGGGGUGCUUAGCAAAAAAAUUAAUAUAAUAGCGGGUGAGAUCCACACAAAAACUAAGCAUUUGUGUUUAUUCCACCGGUGUUAACACUGUUUCGCGGGCUCCACUAAUACGUGGCGGUCUGCGAUUGGUUCGUUUUUAAUUUUUUUUUUUUUUUAAAUCAGAAGAAAAAAAAAAAAAAAUUAAGCACCCCCAUUUGGGUGCUAGGUUUAAUGGUGCUCUUAGCGUUAGUGCUGAGGUGUCAUUCUUGCAUAACUCCUCACAGCCUCAUUUAAAAAAGACUUUAAUUACUAAAGAAAUUACGUACCA